UCCAGAGAUGCAUUGGUGCCUUCGGGAACUGUGAGACAGGUGCUGCAUGGCUGUCGUCAGCUCGUGUUGUGAAAUGUUGGGUUAAGUCCCGCAACGAGCGCAACCCUUAUCCUUUGUUGCCAGCGGUUCGGCCGGGAACUCAAAGGAGACUGCCAGUGAUAAACUGGAGGAAGGUGGGGAUGACGUCAAGUCAUCAUGGCCCUUACGACCAGGGCUACACACGUGCUACAAUGGCAUAUACAAAGAGAAGCGACC
rnacentral:rRNA from 1 species